rnacentral:rRNA from 1 species
GCGCUUAGUGGCGAACGGGUGAGUAACACGUGGGCAAUCUGCCCUUCACUCUGGGACAAGCCCUGGAAACGGGGUCUAAUACCGGAUAUCACUCUUGCGGGCAUCUGUGAGAGUUGAAAGCUCCGGCGGUGAAGGAUGAGCCCGCGGCCUAUCAGCUUGUUGGUGAGGUAAUGGCUCACCAAGGCGACGACGGGUAGCCGGCCUGAGAGGGCGACCGGCCACACUGGGACUGAGACACGGCCCAGACUCCUACGGGAGGCAGCAGUGGGGAAUAUUGCACAAUGGGCGAAAGCCUGAUGCAGCGACGCCGCGUGAGGGAUGACGGCCUUCGGGUUGUAAACCUCUUUCAGCAGGGAAGAAGCGAAAGUGACGGUACCUGCAGAAGAAGCGCCGGCUAACUACGUGCCAGCAGCCGCGGUAAUACGUAGGGCGCAAGCGUUGUCCGGAAUUAUUGGGCGUAAAGAGCUCGUAGGCGGCUUGUCACGUCGGGUGUGAAAGCCCGGGGCUUAACCCCGGGUCUGCAUUCGAUACGGGCUAGCUAGAGUGUGGUAGGGGAGAUCGGAAUUCCUGGUGUAGCGGUGAAAUGCGCAGAUAUCAGAGGAACACCGGUGGCGAAGGCGGAUCUCUGGGCCAUUACUGACGCUGAGGAGCGAAAGCGUGGGGAGCGAACAGGAUUAGAUACCCUGGUAGUCCACGCCGUAAACGGUGGAACUAGGUGUUGGCGACAUUCCACGUCGUCGUGCGCAGCUAACGCAUUAAGUUCCCUCGCCUGGGGGAGUACGGCCGCAAGGCUAAAACUCAAAGGGAAUUG